rnacentral:rRNA from 1 species
AGAGUUUGAUCCUGGCUCAGGAUGAACGCUGGCGGCGUGCUUAACACAUGCAAGUCGAAUGUAGUUUACUACAUGGCGGACGGGUGAGUAACGCGUGAGCAAUCUGCCCAUGUCUGGGGGAUAACCGUUGGAAACGACGGAUAAUACCGCAUAAUAUCGUAGAAAGGCAUCUUUCAACGAUCAAAGAUUUAUCGGAUAUGGAUGAGCUCGCGUCUGAUUAGCUUGUUGGUGGGGUAACGGCUCACCAAGGCGACGAUCAGUAGCCGACCUGAGAGGGUGAUCGGCCACAUUGGAACUGAGACACGGUCCAAACUCCUACGGGAGGCAGCAGUGGGGAAUAUUGGGCAAUGGAGGAAACUCUGACCCAGCAACGCCGCGUGAAUGAUGAAGGUCCUCGGAUUGUAAAGUUCUUUUCUAAGGGAAGAAGAAAGUGACGGUACCUUAGGAAUAAGCCUCGGCUAACUACGUGCCAGCAGCCGCGGUAAUACGUAGGAGGCAAGCGUUAUCCGGAAUGACUGGGCGUAAAGGGUGCGUAGGUGGUUUGAUAAGUUGGUAGCGUAAUUCCGGGGCUCAACUUCGGCGCUACUACCAAAACUGUCAGACUUGAGUGCAGGAGAGGCAACCGGAAUUCCUAGUGUAGCGGUGGAAUGCGUAGAUAUUAGGAGGAACACCAGAGGCGAAGGCGGGUUGCUGGACUGUAACUGACACUGAGGCACGAAAGCGUGGGGAGCAAACAGGAUUAGAUACCCUGGUAGUCCACGCUGUAAACGAUGAAUACUAGUUGUGGGGGGUAUCGACUC